rnacentral:rRNA from 1 species
UACGUAGGGGGCUAGCGUUGUCCGGAAUCAUUGGGCGUAAAGAGCGUGUAGGCGGCCCGGUAAGUCCGCUGUAAAAGUCAAAGGCUCAACCUUUGAAUGUCAGUGGAUACUGCCGGGCUAGAGUCCGGAAGAGGCGAGUGGAACUCCUGGUGUAGCGGUGGAAUGCGCAGAUAUCAGGAAGAACACCAACGGCGAAGGCAGCUCGCUGGGACGGCACUGACGCUGAGACGCGAAAGCGUGGGGAGCGAACAGG